rnacentral:sRNA from 1 species
GCCAGGUGUGGUAGCUUGCGCCUGUAAUCCCAGCAGCUCGGAAGGCUGAGGCAGGAGGAUCAUGAGUUCAGAGCCAGCCUCAGCAACUUAGCGAGGCCCUAAGCAACUCAGUGAGACCUUGUCUCUA